UUUUCCAAACUACCUAGAACUAGCAGUAAAUUUAACAUCAGAAAUCCUCGUGGUAGAAUCUAGCAACUGGGUGUUUUAACAAGCACGCCAGGUGCUUCUAAUGCCCACUCAAAUUUGAGGGCAGCUGUGAAUACUCCCUUUAUAAAGGCUGGAAUCUCAGCUUCCAGAGCUGCAGAAGAACCAAAACAACACUAUUCUUACAUUCUCAGAGGUCACUUUGAGACGAGAAGAGACAAGCCAGGCUUAUGGCAGGGACACAAUAUAUGAAAGAGAACAGCUGCGUGAGAGGGCACUGCAGCAGCCAUCAUAUUGCAACACAGAUAAAGGCAACGAUGGAAAGUUCUACCACUCAGAUUUUACCACAGUCUGAUCCGGUUAGCAAAGUCUCCUGCCAAAAUUCAGUUACCUUCUCAGAAUCUCUAAGAACUUAAGGUUCCCGCAAUAUUAAGCUCUAGGUUCUGUAACUUUAUAGGCAGGAGCCAACCUCAGUAAUGAAUCAGGUUUAAAAUCCAGAAGCCCUGCAAGCAAUUCCAAAUGACAGCUCCAUAGGAAAGAAAAAAAUCAAGACAUAGUUUUGUUACAACCAUUGGGAACAAGAGAAAAGCAAGUUCUCAAACCCAGAAGAGAGAUAAAGUAACAUAUUUGCCAUGGAUUCUUUCAGUUUCCCUUAGGAAAGAGUAACUACUCUAAGCUACCCCUUUCUGUAAUUCAAGACUCUGGAACCCAGCCCUAGGCUAAAGAUUUUGACAUAUGGAUUUAUAUAGAGAUUAUAAGAUCCUGGAUUUCAAGACAAAUGCUAUGAUUGGAUCAUACAAGGGAGAACCACAGUAAGAAUCUUAAAAAUAAUAAUGGAUUUAUUAUAAAUAUUGCACUGAUGCAGAGAAAAUAUAAUACAGUUUUAACCCAGGACUCAAGAAAAAUACUUAUGCAAAUGAAUGGAUCAAAAAGAUGCGGUGUAUAUAUACAAUGGAAUACUACACAGCGAUCAAAAAGAUAAACUCAGCAACAUUGACAGAGCUUUUCUAGGGGUAUUUAUAAUGUUAUAAAUAAGAAUGAGCGUAACAAGUGUCAAGCUCUUCAGGAUAAUUUACCACUGGCUGUGGGCUUUAUGUGAAGACCCUAUAUUGCCUUUACAAAUGAUUUUCAGAAAGAAGCUUAAUCUACAUGUCAGGAGAAAAAUACAUACACAGUGGAAUCUAUCAUAAGCAGAUUACUAAUGGAGAAUAGACAACAUUGACUUUCAAGAUUUGCUAUAUUAAUUUGGUUUCAAACAGUUUAAAGAUGUGCCUGAGCUUAUUUGUGUAUUUUGUGCUUUAUCUUCAUCUUUGGCCUAAACUUUCUUUCUAUAAAUUUGAGGAAAUUGUGAGUAUUUAAAAGAUGUUUUCUCAUUUUUGCUAUCCUCCCAUUAUCCCAAGUAAAAAUAUGUCUGAUCAUUUGAGAUCCUCUGAAAUUAUGCUAGUAUUUGUCAAUAUUCAUUUUGUGUAUACAUCACCUUGGAUUAUGUCUAUAAAGGUAUGUUUAGUUUGUACUUCCCUUUUAAUUUUACUAAGUCCAUCCAGGGAAUAUAUUUCACAAAAAUUAAAUUUCAAAUUCCAGAAUUUAACUCUUUAUUCUUCCUGUCCUUCAUUAGUAAGUCCUUUUUAUUGCGAGGUCAUGUUUUACGAGCAUGUUGCUUUAAUUUAUGAAAUCAUUAUGAUAGCUACUUUCUUAAGUCUUUGUCUCUUAGUUAAAGCUAAUUUUCUCAAGGCCAGUCUUUAUUGCUUUUCCUUUCAUAUUAGAAUAAGUUCCACAUCCUUGGCUUUUCAUAUCUAAGUAAUUUUGGAUUUUAUACUGGAUAAUAUGA